rnacentral:rRNA from 1 species
CCUACGGGAGGCAGCAGUGGGGAAUAUUGGACAAUGGGCGCAAGCCUUGAUCCAGCCAUGCCGCGUGAGUCGAUGAAGGCCUUAGGGUUGUAAAGCUCUUUCGCCGGUGAAGAUAAUGACGGUAACCGGAGAAGAAGCCCCGGCUAACUUCGUGCCAGCAGCCGCGGUAAUU